rnacentral:rRNA from 1 species
CCAGCAGCUGCGGUAAUUCCAGCUCCAAUAGCGUAUAUUUAAGUUGCUGCAGUUAAAAAGCUCGUAGUUGGAUUUCGGGUGGGCCCCGCCGGUCCGCCGUUUCGGUGUGCACUUGCGGGUCCCAUCUUGCUGCCGGGGACGGGUUCCUGGGCUUCACUGUCUGGGACUCGGAGUCGGCGUGGUUACUUUGAGUAAAUUAGAGUGUUCAAAGCAGGCUUACGCUUUGAAUACAUUAGCAUGGAAUAACGCGAUAGGACUCUGGCCUAUCUUGUUGGUCUGUGGGACCGGAGUAAUGAUUAAGAGGGACAGUCGGGGGCAUUCGUAUUUCAUUGACAGAGGUGAAAUUCUUGGAUUUAUGAAAGACGAACUACUGCGAAAGCAUUUGCCAAGGAUGUUUUCAUUAAUCAAGAACGAAAGU